AUGAAAUCCUCUGUUAUGGUUUUCUUUAUCUGUAAAUUUUGUCUGCCUGAAACCCACUGUCAUUACAAGAUAGUUGAUUAACAGAAUAUCUGUUCUAAAUCAGCAACCAGUAAUGGAAGGCAUGUGUCCAUGUAAUGGGUAUUGUUUGCCUAGUCUGUGAAUUUACUUGUUGAUUAUAUAAUACAAAGUUCAAUGGCCUGACACAUUUUGCAGUGAAACGUACCUGCUGAGGGGCUGCAAGAUCUGGGGAGUGUGGGGAAGCUAUAAUAGCCUUUAUGGGUUUAAUGGAGCCUGAGCAACAUGCUCUUUCCUUCCUAGAUCCUUCUAGAAACAACCACUAGUUGCAAGUAACCUCUGCUUUAGUGAAUGUUUAGAGACUGUUAGCAUUGUUUCCCCAGCAUCAGGGCUCAGACACUCUCAGGUUUCUCUUAUUUUGCUGGAAGGCCUGUAAUGGCACCUGUGAAUUAGGAACCCUUCCCCCCUCUCAGCUUAGUGCAGAUAAAUAUCAGAAUCAAGAUAGUAACACUCAUGGCAAGUCAAGUGUACACAAAAAUUAUACCAUCUGGCACAAUUAGUCAGCCCGAGGGCUGGUUAAUGAACUGUAAUAUACACAAUCUAGUAUGCAUGCUGCAGUUGUAAUUGUUUAUGAUACCAGUAAUGUGUAGAUUUAGCAGAGGACAUAAGUAGUCUCUUUAGCAUACGCAAGGUUUUUCAAGUAUUCACAAACAUUAGGACUGUUCUCCAGGACAUUUCUGUGUGACUUGCUAUUUCUGUAACAGCAAACUAACUGAGAUUCUUGUUUUUAAGACUGUAGAAACUGUGAUAAACAUCUAGUUCAGACUGUGGUUUUGAUAGCUUACAACAUAACACAAGCAGACACACAGAAAAUCAUUCUGGGGAUUCCACCACUGAAAUGUGGUUUAAAUGCCUAUUGUAGAUCAAGAAUGACAAAUGCCACCAUCCUCUACACCUCAUUCUUCUAUGUAAACUAAUUAACUGAGCCUGAGGAAUCAGCUCUAAUACAGUCGUCCACCAAGAGCAGACAGCAGCUGUUAACUUCCCUUCACAGAUACCAUUACAGGCCUCCUAUCAUCUGACUACUGCUGAGAAAAUUAACAUCUUAAAUGUGCUAUUUCUUAGCUGCUCCUGCUAGCUCUGCUUUGGCAACAUUUCCGUUAAAAUCCUUUUCUUUUUUAGGACCUCAGCACUCCUCUCCACAGAAAUGAGUACUGUACGUGCCAUUGAGAGAUCCUGACUCUACACUAAAAAAAGGAAUACACGUAA
ensembl:lncRNA